rnacentral:rRNA from 1 species
UACGUAGGGCGCAAGCGUUGUCCGGAAUUAUUGGGCGUAAAGAGCUCGUAGGCGGUCUGUUACGUCCGCUGUGAAAUCCCAGGGCUCAACCCUGGAACUGCCUUUGAAACUGUCUGGCUAGAGUUCGGGAGAGGGUAGUGGAAUUCCUAGUGUAGCAGUGAAAUGCGUAGAUAUUAGGAGGAACACCGGUGGCGAAGGCGGCUACCUGGCCCGAUACUGACGCUCAUGUGCGAAAGCGUGGGGAGCAAACAGG